UGCAUCGGCCGGGAAUCGAACCCGGGCCGGUCGUGUGGCAGGCGAGCAUUCUACCACUGAACCACCAAUGC